rnacentral:rRNA from 1 species
GUAGGUGGCAAGCGUUGUCCGGAAUUAUUGGGCGUAAAGCGCGCGCAGGCGGUUCUUUAAGUCUGAUGUGAAAGCCCACGGCUCAACCGUGGAGGGUCAUUGGAAACUGGAGAACUUGAGUACAGAAGAGGAAAGCGGAACUCCACGUGUAGCGGUGAAAUGCGUAGAGAUGUGGAGGAACACCAGUGGCGAAGGCGGCUUUCUGGUCUGUAACUGACGCUGAGGCGCGAAAGCGUGGGGAGCAAACAGGAUUAGAUACCCUGGUAGUCCACGCCGUAAACGAUGAGUGCUAAGUGUUAGGGGGUCUCCGCCCCUUAGUGCUGCAGCUAACGCAUUAAGCACUCCGCCUGGGAGUACGGCCGCAAGGCUG